UACGUAGGGUGCAAGCGUUGUCCGGAAUUAUUGGGCGUAAAGAGCUCGUAGGCGGUCUGUCGCGUCUGCUGUGAAAACUCAGGGCUUAACCCUGAGCUUGCAGUGGGUACGGGCAGACUAGAGUGCGGUAGGGGAGACUGGAAUUCCUGGUGUAGCGGUGAAAUGCGCAGAUAUCAGGAGGAACACCGGUGGCGAAGGCGGGUCUCUGGGCCGAUACUGACGCUGAGGAGCGAAAGCUAGGGGAGCGAACGGG
rnacentral:rRNA from 1 species